UACGGGGGGGGCAAGCGUUGUUCGGAAUUACUGGGCGUAAAGCGUGCGUAGGCGGUCCGCAAAGUCUGAUGUGAAAGCCCCGGGCUCAACCUGGGAACUGCAUUGGAAACUAACGGGCUCGAGUGUGGCAGAGGGGGGUGGAAUUCCACGUGUAGCAGUGAAAUGCGUAGAGAUGUGGAGGAACACCGAUGGCGAAGGCAGCCCCCUGGGCUAACACUGACGCUCAGGCACGAAAGCGUGGGGAGCAAACAGG
rnacentral:rRNA from 1 species